rnacentral:rRNA from 1 species
GUGGGGAAUAUUGCACAAUGGGGGAAACCCUGAUGCAGCGACGCCGCGUGAAGGAAGAAGUAUCUCGGUAUGUAAACUUCUAUCAGCAGGGAAGAAAACAGACGGUACCUGACUAAGAAGCCCCGGCUAACUACGUGCCAGCAGCCGCGGUAAUACGUAGGGGGCAAGCGUUAUCCGGAUUUACUGGGUGUAAAGGGGGCGCAGACGGCCAUGGCAAGCCCGGUGUGAAAGGCAGGGGCAUAACCCCUGGACUGCACUGGGAACUGUCAGGCUGGAGUGCCGGAGGGGUAAGCGGAAUUCCUGGUGUAGCGGUGAAAUGCGUAGAUAUCAGGAGGAACACCGGCGGCGAAGGCGGCUUACUGGACGGCAACUGACGUUGAGGCCCGAAAGCGUGGGGAGCGAACAGG